GACGAACGCUGGCGGCGUGCUUAACACAUGCAAGUCGAACGGAAAGGCCCUGCUUUUGUGGGGUGCUCGAGUGGCGAACGGGUGAGUAACACGUGAGUAACAUGCCCUUGACUUUGGGAUAACUUCAGGAAACUGGGGCUAAUACCGGAUAGGAGCUCCUGAUGCAUGGUGGUGGUUGGAAAGUUUCGGCGGUUGGGGAUGGACUCGCGGCUUAUCAGCUUGUUGGUGGGGUAGUGGCUUACCAAGGCUUUGACGGGUAGCCGGCCUGGGAGGGUGACCGGCCACAUUGGGACUGAGGUACGGCGCAGAAUCCUACGGGAGGCAGCGGGGGGGAAUAUUGCACAAUGGGCGGGAGCCUGAUGCAGCAACGCCGCGUGCGUGAUGACGGCCUUCGGGUGGUAAACCGCUUUCGCCUGUGACGAAGCGUGAGUGACGGUAAUGGGUAAAAAAGCACCGGCUAACUACGUG
rnacentral:rRNA from 1 species